AAAUUGAAGAGUUUGAUCAUGGCUCAGAUUGAACGCUGGCGGCAGGCCUAACACAUGCAAGUCGAACGGUAACAGGAAGAAGCUUGCUUCUUUGCUGACGAGUGGCGGACGGGUGAGUAAUGUCUGGGAAACUGCCUGAUGGAGGGGGAUAACUACUGGAAACGGUAGCUAAUACCGCAUAACGUCGCAAGACCAAAGAGGGGGACCUUCGGGCCUCUUGCCAUCGGAUGUGCCCAGAUGGGAUUAGCUAGUAGGUGGGGUAACGGCUCACCUAGGCGACGAUCCCUAGCUGGUCUGAGAGGAUGACCAGCCACACUGGAACUGAGACACGGUCCAGACUCCUACGGGAGGCAGCAGUGGGGAAUAUUGCACAAUGGGCGCAAGCCUGAUGCAGCCAUGCCGCGUGUAUGAAGAAGGCCUUCGGGUUGUAAAGUACUUUCAGCGGGGAGGAAGGGAGUAAAGUUAAUACCUUUGCUCAUUGACGUUACCCGCAGAAGAAGCACCGGCUUAACUCCGUGCCAGCAGCCGCGGUAAUACGGAGGGUGCAAGCGUUAAUCGGAAUUACUGGGCGUAAAGCGCACGCAGGCGGUUUGUUAAGUCAGAUGUGAAAUCCCCGGGCUCAACCUGGGAACUGCAUCUGAUACUGGCAAGCUUGAGUCUCGUAGAGGGGGGUAGAAUUCCAGGUGUAGCGGUGAAAUGCGUAGAGAUCUGGAGGAAUACCGGUGGCGAAGGCGGCCCCCUGGACGAAGACUGACGCUCAGGUGCGAAAGCGUGGGGAGCAAACAGGAUUAGAUACCCUGGUAGUCCACGCCGUAAACGAUGUCGACUUGGAGGUUGUGCCCUUGAGGCGUGGCUUCCGGAGCUAACGCGUUAAGUCGACCGCACGGGGAGUACGGCCGCAAGGUUAAAACUCAAAUGAAUUGACGGGGGCCCGCACAAGCGGUGGAGCAUGUGGUUUAAUUCGAUGCAACGCGAAGAACCUUACCUGGUCUUGACAUCCACAGAACUUUCCAGAGAUGGAUUGGUGCCUUCGGGAACUGUGAGACAGGUGCUGCAUGGCUGUCGUCAGCUCGUGUUGUGAAAUGUUGGGUUAAGUCCCGCAACGAGCGCAACCCUUAUCCUUUGUUGCCAGCGGUCCGGCCGGGAACUCAAAGGAGACUGCCAGUGAUAAACUGGAGGAAGGUGGGGAUGACGUCAAGUCAUCAUGGCCCUUACGACCAGGGCUACACACGUGCUACAAUGGCGCAUACAAAGAGAAGCGACCUCGCGAGAGCAAGCGGACCUCAUAAAGUGCGUCGUAGUCCGGAUUGGAGUCUGCAACUCGACUCCAUGAAGUCGGAAUCGCUAGUAAUCGUGGAUCAGAAUGCCACGGUGAAUACGUUCCCGGGCCUUGUACACACCGCCCGUCACACCAUGGGAGUGGGUUGCAAAAGAAGUAGGUAGCUUAACCUUCGGGAGGGCGCUUACCACUUUGUGAUUCAUGACUGGGGUGAAGUCGUAACAAGGUAACCGUAGGGGAACCUGCGGUUGGAUCACCUCCUUA
rnacentral:rRNA from 1 species